rnacentral:tRNA from 1 species
GGUUCUAUGAUGUAGUGGUUAGCACUCUGGACUUUGAAUGCAGCGACCUUGGUUCGAAUUCCGGUAAGACCC